rnacentral:rRNA from 1 species
UAGUUUUGGGUUGGGGUGACCGCGGAGAAAAACUAAACCUCCACGACGAACGGAAUUAACUCCUAAUCUAAGAGCUACCGCUCUAAGAAUCAAUAAAUUGACAUAAAAUGAUCCGAUAAUCGAUCAACGAACCAAGUUACCCUGGGGAUAACAGCGCAAUCCAUUUCAAGAGCUCCUAUCGACAAAUGGGUUUACGACCUCGAUGUUGGAUCAGGGUAUCCCAGUGGUGCAGCCGCUACUAAAGGUUUGUUUGUUCAACAAUUAAAACCCUAC